AUUUGGAAAAAGGUUUCAACACUGCAAAGUGAAAAGGUUCAGUGCCUUACCUUCAACACGAGCGACUGGAACUGAAGCAACUAUUGAGGUUGUGUUCAAUAGGAGUACUCCUAUUGCAGAUCUCCCACAGAAUAAUGUUGUUGCUGAAAUCUUAAAAAAAGCUGUGACUAAUACCAACAAUACGUUCAAUGUGAGCAUAAAUCCGGACUCAGUCAAAAUACUAGAAGGUCCAGUUCCAGGUACAACUACCGGACUUACAACUGCUGCACCUACAACUGCAGCAACUACAACUGCUGUACCUACAACAGCUGCAUCUACAACAUCAGCGCCUACAACAGCUGCACCUAUCACUUUGACCCCUGAGCCUGUGUAUAUCCUCUCAGUAGACUUGGAAAGAGAAACUUUCUCAGAUGGCCUUACUGACACCAGCAGCAAUGA